rnacentral:tRNA from 2 species
GGCACCAUAGCCAAGCGGUAAGGCAGAGGUCUGCAAAACCUUUAUGCCCCGGUUCAAAUCCGGGUGGUGCCUCCA